UGGGGGCAACCCUGAUCCAGCAAUGCCGCGUGUGUGAUGAAGGCCUUAGGGUUGUAAAGCACUUUCACUGGUGAAGAUGAUGACGGUAACCAGAGAAGAAGCCCCGGCUAACUUCGUGCCAGCAGCCGCGGUAAUACGAAGGGGGCGAGCGUUGUUCGGAAUUACUGGGCGUAAAGGGAGCGCAGGCGGUUCAUUAAGUUAGGCGUGAAAGCCCCGGGCUCAACCUGGGAACUGCGCUUAAUACUGGUGAGCUAGAAAACAGGAGAGGGUAGUGGAAUUUCCAGUGUAGAGGUGAAAUUCGUAGAUAUUGGAAAGAACACCGGUGGCGAAAGCGGCUACCUGGCCUGAUUUUGACGCUGAGGCUCGAAAGCGUGGGGAGCAAACAGGAUUAGAUACCCUGGUAGUCCACGCCGUAAACGAUGACAGCUAGAUGUCGGAGGGUUGCCCUUCGGUGUCGCCGCUAACGCAUUAAGCUGUCCGCCUGGGAAGUACGGUCGCAAGAUUAAAACUCAAAGGAAUUGACGGGGA
rnacentral:rRNA from 1 species